rnacentral:rRNA from 1 species
CCUUUACAUGCACGCAAGUGUGAUAAGGUUACCCGGAUGCUAGGAGCAAGCUUCUAGCUGUUAUAGGUGUGUAAAUAACCCUAUGAGAAAGGAGAGGGCAAGGCUGGUGCCAGCCGCCGCGGUAAAACCAGCUCUUCAAGUGGUCGGAAACAUUAUUGGGCUUAAAGUGUCCGUAGCCGGUUUGAUAAGUUCCUGGUUAAAUCUGGCAGCUUAACUGUCAGUCUCCUAGGAAUACUAUCUUACUAGAGGGCGGGAAAGGUCUGAGGUACUCCAGGGGUAGCGGUGAAAUGCGAUAAUCCUUGGGGGACCACCAGUGGCGAAGGCGUCAGACUGGAACGCGCCUGACGGUGAGGGACGAAAGCCAGGGGAGCGAACGGGAUUAGAUACCCCGGUAGUCCUGGCCGUAAACGAUGCGUGUUAGGUGUUGGUAGGGCUCUGAGCCGUAUCAGUGCCGUAGGGAAACUGUUAAACGCGCCGCCUGGGAAGUACGCUCGCAAGGGUGAAACUUAAAGGAAUUGGCGGGGGAGCACCACAAGGGGUGAAGCCUGCGGUUCAAUUGGAUUCAACGCCGGGAAGGGC